rnacentral:rRNA from 1 species
GAUGAACGCUGGCGGCGUGCCUAACACAUGCAAGUCGAGCGUGAUUGAUGUGAGUGGAGACUUCGGUCGAAGCGAACAUCAUGAAAGCGGCGGACGGGUGAGUAACGCGUGGGCAACCUGCCCCAUACACGGGAAUAGCCACUGGAAACGGUGAUUAAUGCCCGAUAAGACCCCGGUACCCCAAGGUACAGAGGCCAAAGAUUUACCGGUAUGGGAUGGGCCCGCGUCUGAUUAGCUAGUUGGUGAGGUAACGGCUCACCAAGGCGACGAUCAGUAACCGACCUGAGAGGGCGGACGGUCACACUGGAACUGAGACACGGUCCAGACUCCUACGGGAGGCAGCAGUGGGGAAUAUUGCACAAUGGGCGCAAGCCUGAUGCAGCAACGCCGCGUGAGUGAAGAAGGCCUUCGGGUCGUAAAGCUCUGUCCUGUGGGACGAAACAAAUGACGGUACCACAGGAGGAAGCCCCGGCUAACUACGUGCCAGCCGCCGCUGUAAGAC